UAGGGAAUCUUCCACAAUGGACGCAAGUCUGAUGGAGCAACGCCGCGUGAGUGAAGAAGGUUUUCGGAUCGUAAAGCUCUGUUGUUGGUGAAGAAGGAUAGAGGUAGUAACUGGCCUUUGUUUGACGGUAAUCAAUUAGAAAGUCACGGCUAACUACGUGCCAGCAGCCGCGGUAAUACGUAGGUGGCAAGCGUUGUCCGGAUUUAUUGGGCGUAAAGCGAGUGCAGGCGGCUCGAUAAGUCUGAUGUGAAAGCCUUCGGCUCAACCGGAGAAUUGCAUCAGAAACUGUCGAGCUUGAGUACAGAAGAGGAGAGUGGAACUCCAUGUGUAGCGGUGAAAUGCGUAGAUAUAUGGAAGAACACCAGUGGCGAAGGCGGCUCUCUGGUCUGCAACUGACGCUGAGGCUCGAAAGCAUGGGUAGCGAACAGG
rnacentral:rRNA from 1 species